GGGUUGUGAGGUUAAGCGACUAAGCGUACACGGUGGAUGCCCUGGCAGUCAGAGGCGAUGAAGGACGUGCUAAUCUGCGAUAAGCGCCGGUAAGGUGAUAUGAACCGUUAUAACCGGCGAUUUCCGAAUGGGGAAACCCAGUGUGACUCGUCACACUAUCAUUAACUGAAUCCAUAGGUUAAUGAGGCGAACCGGGGGAACUGAAACAUCUAAGUACCCCGAGGAAAAGAAAUCAACCGAGAUUCCCCCAGUAGCGGCGAGCGAACGGGGAGGAGCCCAGAGCCUGAAUCAGCAUGUGUGUUAGUGGAAGCGUCUGGAAAGGCGCGCGAUACAGGGUGACAGCCCCGUACACAAAAGCGCACAUGCUGUGAGCUCGAUGAGUAGGGCGGGACACGUGGUAUCCUGUCUGAAUAUGGGGGGACCAUCCUCCAAGGCUAAAUACUCCUGACUGACCGAUAGUGAACCAGUACCGUGAGGGAAAGGCGAAAAGAACCCCGGCGAGGGGAGUGAAAAAGAACCUGAAACCGUGUACGUACAAGCAGUGGGAGCCCCACCACUAAGCCAGUGGUGAACUCCACAUACGCAUCCUUUGCUGAGGAUACGGUUAACGGAGCGCAAGCGACGUUCAACCUCAAAAGAAGCAGAGGGGGCUUAGUGGUGGGGUGACUGCGUACCUUUUGUAUAAUGGGUCAGCGACUUAUAUUCUGUAGCAAGGUUAACCGAAUAGGGGAGCCGGAGGGAAACCGAGUCUUAAUUGGGCGUUAAGUUGCAGGGUAUAGACCCGAAACCCGGUGAUCUAGCCAUGGGCAGGUUGAAGGUUGGGUAACACUAACUGGAGGACCGAACCGACUAAUGUUGAAAAAUUAGCGGAUGACCUGUGGCUGGGGGUGAAAGGCCAAUCAAACCGGGAGAUAGCUGGUUCUCCCCGAAAGCUAUUUAGGUAGCGCCUCGUGAAUUCAUCUCCGGGGGUAGAGCACUGUUUCGGCUAGGGGGCCAUCCCGGCUUACCAACCCGAUGCAAACUGCGAAUACCGGAGAAUGUUAUCACGGGAGACACACGGCGGGUGCUAACGUCCGUCGUGAAGAGGGAAACAACCCAGACCGCCAGCUAAGGUCCCAAAGUCAUGGUUAAGUGGGAAACGAUGUGGGAAGGCCCAGACAGCCAGGAUGUUGGCUUAGAAGCAGCCAUCAUUUAAAGAAAGCGUAAUAGCUCACUGGUCGAGUCGGCCUGCGCGGAAGAUGUAACGGGGCUAAACCAUGCACCGAAGCUGCGGCAGCGACACUAUGUGUUGUUGGGUAGGGGAGCGUUCUGUAAGCCUGUGAAGGUGGCCUGUGAGGGUUGCUGGAGGUAUCAGAAGUGCGAAUGCUGACAUAAGUAACGAUAAAGCGGGUGAAAAGCCCGCUCGCCGGAAGACCAAGGGUUCCUGUCCAACGUUAAUCGGGGCAGGGUGAGUCGACCCCUAAGGCGAGGCCGAAAGGCGUAGUCGAUGGGAAACGGGUUAAUAUUCCCGUACUUGGUGUUACUGCGAAGGGGGGACGGAGAAGGCUAUGUUGGCCGGGCGACGGUUGUCCCGGUUUAAGCGUGUAGGUGUGUGUUCCAGGUAAAUCCGGUUCACUUUAACACUGAGGCGUGAUGACGAGGCACUACGGUGCUGAAGCAACAAAUGCCUUGCUUCCAGGAAAAGCCUCUAAGCAUCAGGUAACAUCAAAUCGUACCCCAAACCGACACAGGUGGUCAGGUAGAGAAUACCAAGGCGCUUGAGAGAACUCGGGUGAAGGAACUAGGCAAAAUGGUGCCGUAACUUCGGGAGAAGGCACGCUGACAUGUAGGUGAAGUGAUUUACUCAUGGAGCUGAAGUCAGUCGAAGAUACCAGCUGGCUGCAACUGUUUAUUAAAAACACAGCACUGUGCAAACACGAAAGUGGACGUAUACGGUGUGACGCCUGCCCGGUGCCGGAAGGUUAAUUGAUGGGGUCAGCGCAAGCGAAGCUCCUGAUCGAAGCCCCGGUAAACGGCGGCCGUAACUAUAACGGUCCUAAGGUAGCGAAAUUCCUUGUCGGGUAAGUUCCGACCUGCACGAAUGGCGUAAUGAUGGCCAGGCUGUCUCCACCCGAGACUCAGUGAAAUUGAACUCGCUGUGAAGAUGCAGUGUACCCGCGGCAAGACGGAAAGACCCCGUGAACCUUUACUAUAGCUUGACACUGAACAUUGAGCCUUGAUGUGUAGGAUAGGUGGGAGGCUUUGAAGUGUGGACGCCAGUCUGCAUGGAGCCGACCUUGAAAUACCACCCUUUAAUGUUUGAUGUUCUAACGUGGACCCGUAAUCCGGGUUGCGGACAGUGUCUGGUGGGUAGUUUGACUGGGGCGGUCUCCUCCUAAAGAGUAACGGAGGAGCACGAAGGUUGGCUAAUCCUGGUCGGACAUCAGGAGGUUAGUGCAAUGGCAUAAGCCAGCUUGACUGCGAGCGUGACGGCGCGAGCAGGUGCGAAAGCAGGUCAUAGUGAUCCGGUGGUUCUGAAUGGAAGGGCCAUCGCUCAACGGAUAAAAGGUACUCCGGGGAUAACAGGCUGAUACCGCCCAAGAGUUCAUAUCGACGGCGGUGUUUGGCACCUCGAUGUCGGCUCAUCACAUCCUGGGGCUGAAGUAGGUCCCAAGGGUAUGGCUGUUCGCCAUUUAAAGUGGUACGCGAGCUGGGUUUAGAACGUCGUGAGACAGUUCGGUCCCUAUCUGCCGUGGGCGCUGGAGAACUGAGGGGGGCUGCUCCUAGUACGAGAGGACCGGAGUGGACGCAUCACUGGUGUUCGGGUUGUCAUGCCAAUGGCACUGCCCGGUAGCUAAAUGCGGAAGAGAUAAGUGCUGAAAGCAUCUAAGCACGAAACUUGCCCCGAGAUGAGUUCUCCCUGAGACUUUAGGUCUCCUGAAGGAACGUUGAAGACGACGACGUUGAUAGGCCGGGUGUGUAAGCGCAGCGAUGCGUUGAGCUAACCGGUACUAAUGAACCGUGAGGCUUAACCUUACAACGCCGAAG
rnacentral:rRNA from 1 species